AGGUGAUAUGAACCGUUAUAACCGGCGAUACCCGAAUGGGGAAACCCAGUGUGACUCGUCACACUAUCAUUAACUGAAUCCAUAGGUUAAUGAGGCGAACCGGGGGAACUGAAACAUCUAAGUACCCCGAGGAAAAGAAAUCAACCGAGAUUCCCCCAGUAGCGGCGAGCGAACGGGGAGGAGCCCAGAGCCUGAAUCAGCAUGUGUGUUAGUGGAAGCGUCUGGAAAGGCGCGCGAUACAGGGUGACAGCCCCGUACACAAAAGCGCAUGUGCUGUGAGCUCGAUGAGUAGGGCGGGACACGUGGUAUCCUGUCUGAAUAUGGGGGGACCAUCCUCCAAGGCUAAAUACUCCUGACUGACCGAUAGUGAACCAGUACCGUGAGGGAAAGGCGAAAAGAACCCCGGCGAGGGGAGUGAAAAAGAACCUGAAACCGUGUACGUACAAGCAGUGGGAGCCCCACCACCAAAGCAUUUGCUGUACCGCGUUGACGGAGCGAAGCGACGUCAAACCGAUAAAACAGCAGUGUAAAGUGAGCCGCAGGGCGCUUUGCGCGACAGCGCAAAGGCAGGCGGUUUCGCGUAGCGAAAGCGAAUGCUUUGGGGUGGGGUGACUGCGUACCUUUUGUAUAAUGGGUCAGCGACUUAUAUUCUGUAGCAAGGUUAACCGAAUAGGGGAGCCGGAGGGAAACCGAGUCUUAAUUGGGCGUUAAGUUGCAGGGUAUAGACCCGAAACCCGGUGAUCUAGCCAUGGGCAGGUUGAAGGUUGGGUAACACUAACUGGAGGACCGAACCGACUAAUGUUGAAAAAUUAGCGGAUGACCUGUGGCUGGGGGUGAAAGGCCAAUCAAACCGGGAGAUAGCUGGUUCUCCCCGAAAGCUAUUUAGGUAGCGCCUCGUGAAUUCAUCUCCGGGGGUAGAGCACUGUUUCGGCUAGGGGGCCAUCCCGGCUUACCAACCCGAUGCAAACUGCGAAUACCGGAGAAUGUUAUCACGGGAGACACACGGCGGGUGCUAACGUCCGUCGUGAAGAGGGAAACAACCCAGACCGCCAGCUAAGGUCCCAAAGUCAUGGUUAAGUGGGAAACGAUGUGGGAAGGCCCAGACAGCCAGGAUGUUGGCUUAGAAGCAGCCAUCAUUUAAAGAAAGCGUAAUAGCUCACUGGUCGAGUCGGCCUGCGCGGAAGAUGUAACGGGGCUAAACCAUGCACCGAAGCUGCGGCAGCGACACUGUGUGUUGUUGGGUAGGGGAGCGUUCUGUAAGCCUGUGAAGGUGUGUCGUGAGGCAUGCUGGAGGUAUCAGAAGUGCGAAUGCUGACAUAAGUAACGAUAAAGCGGGUGAAAAGCCCGCUCGCCGGAAGACCAAGGGUUCCUGUCCAACGUUAAUCGGGGCAGGGUGAGUCGACCCCUAAGGCGAGGCCGAAAGGCGUAGUCGAUGGGAAACGGGUUAAUAUUCCCGUACUUGGUGUUACUGCGAAGGGGGGACGGAGAAGGCUAUGUUGGCCGGG
rnacentral:rRNA from 1 species